UUAAAUUAUAAUGAACGUAGACUAGUUUAUGAAGCUUCUCAGAAGCGAGUCGAUUCCUCCUAGUAGUGUGCAACCAUUGGAACGUACUCCAGUUGCGCUCACAGCCAGUAGCAGAACAUGUCUGGGAGAGCACCUUGAUUGCUAUCCUCUUUAGGUGAGGUGCAUCAUUACCAUAUAUCUCCCACCAUUCAGCUGGAUUAAAAUGUAAAAAGCAUUGUAAGGGCAAGAACAAUUCAUAAGAUUAAAUAUAUGAAUAAACAAAAUAUUAGCGAGGGGAUAACCUGGAUCCAUCAUAGUUCGAGA
rnacentral:lncRNA from 1 species